AUUGAACGCUGGCGGCAGGCUUAACACAUGCAAGUCGAGCGAGCGGCGGACGGGUGAGUAAUGUAUGGGAAACUGCCCGAUAGAGGGGGAUAACUACUGGAAACGGUGGCUAAUACCGCAUACUAUCGGAUGUACCCAUAUGGGAUUAGCUAGUAGGUGGGGUAAUGGCUCACCUAGGCGACGAUCCCUAGCUGGUCUGAGAGGAUGACCAGCCACACUGGGACUGAGACACGGCCCAGACUCCUACGGGAGGCAGCAGUGGGGAAUAUUGCACAAUGGGCGCAAGCCUGAUGCAGCCAUGCCGCGUGUAUGAAGAAGGCCUUAGGGUUGUAAAGUACUUUCAGCGGGGAGGCGUUACCCGCAGAAGAAGCACCGGCUAACUCCGUGCCAGCAGCCGCGGUAAUAC
rnacentral:rRNA from 1 species